rnacentral:lncRNA from 1 species
GAAGAACUCUUCUGUGACGGUAUCUAACAGGGAAAGGCGACUUUGUGUUCCAGCUGCCAUAUUGUAGCUGCAACCCCUGAUGCACCAUCAAUUAAAAACAGCAAUAAUUAUGCAUGGGAAAAAGCCACAGAUAAUAGGCUUCCAUUAGAUUAAGUAGUUAUAUGAAUAAAAAAAAUACAACCUAUACUUCGGCUAAUUAAACCCACUCACCAUCUGAUUAAGAUGUGUUGUGAGACCAUGGAAAACUACCAACCACUAACUGUAAGUAAUCCGGCACAGAUGGGAAUUAAUAGUACAUUCCCUGGUUUAGAGAUAAUGGAUCUCCAUAGAGGUUGAUCAGAAUCAUUAAUAAGCAUCGACAGGAUGGACAGUACAAAACAGCUGGUGCCUAAUGUUGGGGUGGAGCAGGCCAUGUUCUUAAUUCCACUCCACCUACUGAGAUGAGCCGGAAGACGGAUAGAUGUGCUGAGACGCCAUCAGAGCUGAGGUUCUACGGGAGUUCUGGACUUGCUGCCUGGGCUCGAGGGAGCUGAAAAGGAAUCGGGACCCAACCAAAGGGUGGGAGUUGGCCCCGCUGCUCGGCUUUGCAAGGAUCUACUCCAAGGGUAGCUAGAACCAAAGCUUCCGCUCUCCGGGAAGGCAGCCUGCCCGUUACCCAGAGAGGCUCUCUCCUAGGGGCGUGGCUUGGGUUACCAUGGGAACCAGGCCUGGUUGACAUAUCCCAGGGCUGCUGUUUUGGGGACUGAGAAUUCAGGGCUAGUCCCAGAAAUAACGCCUGGGAGUAGCAGCUGUGGGGAGAGAUACGAGCGUGUCCGCUGCGUGGGGAGUGCGGAGGGGAUCCGAGGGAGGUGGCCGGCCAGAGCGCCCUAGGACACAGUGUUCCCAAUGUCCGUUUAGAGCUACUCUCCAGCCUCCAGCUUCUGUCCUUAGGAGCAGCUGCGAGGAGAGCACCCGGGCCCUGCCUUCUAAUUACCACUAAUUAGGUAAAUGCGGAGACGCCUCUCUCUCCCUCCCCCGACCUACAAAGGCAACUGAGAGACACACAGAGAGGUCACACACAGCCGUUUCCAAAUGGAGACAGGCAAGGGUGAUGUGGCCUGAAUACCAAGCAGCCGCUGCCCAAGGGAAGGGGAGCGGGGACAGGGCAGGAGGCUUCUGAGCGUGUGGCCCCUAGCUAGGGAGGCACCGAGGCGGGAGAGGGAGCCCAGGCCACUUUCCCAGCCUGGGUUCCUGGCUCCCCCGCCUUGACUGUGCAGGGGUGUCUGGUUGAGGAGGGAAGUCCUAGAUCAGUCCCCAGUCCCAGUCCUCGGAGGGUUUGCUCUUUCUGGAAGUCCUUGGCUCAGGAUCCUUGGACUUGUCUGUGGGUUUGGUUCUUCUCCUGGUUGUCUGGAUGGGAGGGGAGGGGCCUAGGCUUGCUGGGGCUGUGUGUAGGGUCAAAGGCACUAUGGAUCCUAAUGGAGAACCUCAGGGCAAAACCAACAGUACUGCCAUACCCAUGGAUGUGGUGCAGGUUCGGUUCCAAACCAUAGCAAAGCAAAUAUAGCAAUAAAGCAAGUCACACAAGUUUUUUGGUUUCCCAGUGUGUAUAAAAGUUAUGUUUGCACUAUAGUUGAUUAGGUGUGCAAUGGCAUUAUGUCUAAAAGAGCGUAUACCUUAAUUUUAAAAUAUUUUAUUGAUAAAAAUGCUAACACAGAGACAUGAAGUCAGCACGUGCUGUUGGAAAAUGGCACUGAUAGACCUGCUCAAUGCUGGGUUGCCACAAACAUUCAAUUUGUAAAAAAAUCUAACCUGCGGAGCAUAAUAAAGCAAAGUGCCAUAAAAGGAGGUCUGCCUGUGGUUUUUUAUCUUUUCCUUGGGCUGUGGGUGGGGGCCAAUACCUGUCCCUGAAAUAGGUAUGGAAGCUCACCUAUUUUAAGUUUGAGGCAAUACAUUGGCUUAAAGGGUUUUGUUUUUGUUUGUCUUCAUUUUUAUUUUUAAUAGGUAUCACUUCCUUAUCUUACCCCUAACCUCAUAAAGCUGGUGGUGUAAAGGGAAUGGCCAUCCCAUUUUUCAGAUGAAAAACACUGAGGCUGGCUGAUCUCAUCUUGCAGAGGUCAGCCCACACUCCCCUCUCUGAGAGUGUAAAACAUAACAUAACAAAACAAAACAAAACAAAACAAAACUGAGGCCAAGAGUGGGGAUGUGGCUGGGUGCUGGUUCUUUUGUUUUUGUUUUUGUUUUUCUUUGAGACAAGGUCUCGCUCUGUCAGGCUGUAGUGCAGUGGUGUGAUUGUGGCUCACAGCAGCCUCAACCUCCUGGGCUUAAGCGAUCCUCCCGCGUCAGCCUCCCUAGUAGCUGGGCUACAGGUGCUUGCCAGCACACCCAGCUAAUUUUUGUAUUUUGUGUGGGAAUAGAGUUUCACCAUGUUGCCUAGACUGCUCUUGAACUCCUGGGUUCAAGUGAUCUUCCAACCUUGGCUUCCCAAAGUGCUGGGAUUACAGAUGUGAGCCACCACGCCCAGCCUCGUUCAUUUUGACAUCAUAGUCAAAGCAAAAACCCAAAGUAUCUGAAGUUCUAGGCAAUCUACUAAUAAUCCAUAAUGUUCAGAGAGAUAUUGCCUUUUUUUUUUUUUUUUGAGAUGGAGUUUCGCUCUUGUCACCCAUGCUGGAGUGCAAUGGCACGAUCUCAACUCUCUGCAACCUCCGCCUCGCGGGUUCAAGCUAUUCUCCCGCCUCAGCCUCCCAAGUAGCUGGGAUUACAGGCAUACACCACCAUCCCUGGCUAAGUUUGGUAUUUUUAGUAGAGAUGAGGUUCCACCAUGUUGGCCAGGCUGGUCUCAAACUCCCGACCUCAGGUGACCCGUCCACAUUGGCCUCCCAAAGUGCUGGGAUUACAGGCGUGAGCCACCACACCCGGCCUUGCUUUAGUUUUAAGUUGUGGGAGGAAAACAUGUUUGUUUGUUUGUUUUUAAAUAUUCAAUUAUUACAAAAGAGUUUAAAAAGUCUUUGAAAAAUGUUCCAUGUUUGUACAAGCACGUAUGUUUAUCUAUAUGUCUUUUCCUCAAGACAUAUACGUUAUAAUAUUUCUAAGAAAACUAUAAUGCUGCUUUACAACUUUACUUUUUCAUUUGUCUAUUAUACUUUUAUUACCUGUUACAGUUUACAAAAUGCUUUAAUUCUCACAUUAACCCAUCAAGUUAAGUGAGAUGGGCAUUAUUUUUAUUUAUUAAUUUUAAUUUUUAUUUUUUUGAGACGAGGUCUCAUUCUGUCACCCAGGCUGAGUGCAGUGGUGGGAUCAUGAUUCACUGCAGCCUCAACCUCCUGGGCUCAAGCGUUCUCUAGCUUCAGCCUCUCUAUCAGCUGGGACUGUAGGCAUGUCCUC